rnacentral:lncRNA from 1 species
CAGAAAUGAAUACUUUCAGACUAGGUUUGAAGGACUGAGUAGGAGUAAACUAAAAGAGAAAAAGCAGGACAAAAGAAGCACCACUUUGGAAGCUCAAAGCCGCACUGGAAACACAGUCUUUCAGGAUGUCUGAAAGGGGCAAGUCUGUUUGUGUGGGGUAAGAAAUGCGGGGAGACAAACGGACAGUGGACAGAUUGCAGAGAGCUCUGUGUGCUGAGAGGAGGGUGCAGACCAGAUUUUUAAAUUGAGAAUGCAACAGUGAAGGAUUUCAAGCUUGGAGUGAGAGGGGAGACUACGAGCCUGCAGUGAUAAGGCAAAGCUGAAGAUUUCAGAGCCAAGGCCACACCCUACAGUUGCCAUGGAAUGGGGUGGCACAGUGGGCUUUGGAGUGCUUCUGCAUGAACCAGAUCUGAUCUGUGUUUCAAAUCAGCAAACAUCCCAAGAAAGAAAAUAGCCUGUGAAAGAUAUACAGGGAGUCCACGGAGCCUCCCCUGCAAGCAUCAGUACAGAAGUCGAUGAUAAUCUGGAUGCAAGCCCAGGAGUGUGGAGUCCACUGACUCAGAAGACCUGCAUCUAAGGAAUUGGCUGUUCUUAUCCUUAAGAAUGAUGACUGUGUUUCCAAUUCCAGUAGACCCUUUGAUGCGUUCUGAAUAAAUAUUCCUUUUGGAAUUGAA